rnacentral:lncRNA from 1 species
UGAACUCAACUUUUCUGUCUACUGGCAGUUCGGGUAGUUCAUCAAGAAACACAUUCGAUAAGUUUCGGACUACCGGAAUCUCUUGAAUACAAACUUCUUUCCUAGAUUUUCCUAAUGUAGAAAAGAUAACCGAGUUAAAGCACUAUGUAAUGAGGAAAUUACCAUGAGGAAAUAACAUUUAAAAUUUUCAUUAACAUGU